GCUGAGGACUCUGGCGGAACUGCCGGUGACAAACCGGAGGAAGGUGGGGAAUGACGUCAAGUCAUCAUGGCCCCUAUGUCCAGGGCUACACACGUGCUACAAUGGGCGAUACAGAGUGACGCGAACCCGCGAGGGGGAGCUAAUCCAUAAAAGCCGGCCUCAGUUCGGAUCGGAGUCUGCAACUCGACUCCGUGAAGUUGGAAUCGCCAGUAAUCGCGGAUCAGCAUGCCGCGGUGAAUACGUUCCCGGGCCUU
rnacentral:rRNA from 1 species